rnacentral:rRNA from 1 species
AGGGAAUCUUCGGCAAUGGACGAAAGUCUGACCGAGCAACGCCGCGUGAGUGAAGAAGGCUUUCGGGUCGUAAAACUCUGUUGUUGGAGAAGAAUGGUCGGCAGAGUAACUGUUGCCGGCGUGACGGUAUCCAACCAGAAAGCCACGGCUAACUACGUGCCAGCAGCCGCGGUAAUACGUAGGUGGCAAGCGUUAUCCGGAUUUAUUGGGCGUAAAGCGAGCGCAGGCGGUUUUUUAAGUCUGAUGUGAAAGCCCUCGGCUUAACCGAGGAAGCGCAUCGGAAACUGGGAAACUUGAGUGCAGAAGAGGAUAGUGGAACUCCAUGUGUAGCGGUGAAAUGCGUAGAUAUAUGGAAGAACACCAGUGGCGAAGGCGGCUGUCUGGUCUGUAACUGACGCUGAGGCUCGAAAGCAUGGGUAGCGAAC